rnacentral:rRNA from 1 species
UACGGAGGAUUCGAGCGUUAUCCGGAUUUAUUGGGUUUAAAGGGUCCGUAGGCGGGCUAAUAAGUCAGUGGUGAAAUCUCACAGCUCAACUGUGAAACUGCCAUUGAUACUGUUAGUCUUGAAUUUAGUUGAGGUAGGCGGAAUACGUUAUGUAGCGGUGAAAUGCAUAGAUAUAACGUAGAACACCGAUUGCGAAGGCAGCUUACUAAGCUAAUAUUGACGCUGAUGGACGAAAGCGUGGGGAGCGAACAGG